UACGUAGGGUGCAAGCGUUAAUCGGAAUUACUGGGCGUAAAGAGUGCGUAGGCGGCUAUGUAAGACAGAUGUGAAAUCCCUGGGCUUAACCUAGGAACUGCAUUUGUGACUGCAAGGCUAGAGUGCGGCAGAGGGGGAUGGAAUUCCGCGUGUAGCAGUGAAAUGCGUAGAUAUGCGGAGGAACACCGAUGGCGAAGGCAAUCCCCUGGGCCUGCACUGACGCUCAUGCACGAAAGCGUGGGGAGC
rnacentral:rRNA from 1 species